rnacentral:lncRNA from 1 species
UGGACUGAAAUCUGGAGUCCUUUUUCAAUCAAGGACAGUCCUCCACCCCUAUGAUCAUCUUCAAUAAUACGAAUACCCAAAGACCCCCACCGGAAACUGGACACACAAAAGAUGUGAGCCGCAAUAACACAAAUAAGACCCCCGUAGAUUCUUUUGCUGGAACAAAAAUAGCCAUUUUAUCUUCUUCUACAAAGAAGGAAGCAGCCAUGGAGAACAAACAUACCGUCGAAAGAAAGGCAUCCACAGUCACAAGCCUUCAACACCCUUAGCUUCUUCAUCUUCAUCACAAGAAAAACCUAGCAAAACCUAAGACCUAGGCAGAACCCUAUCUCCCACGUUCCCGUUGCUUUAUCUUAAAUUAACAACACCGCUGGACCUUCUUCUUCUUUCUAUUUUUCAGCCGGAAAACAUACCUUAAGAACUCCGAGUAGAUCAAUUCGAGUAAGAGAAGUUUUCCAUCAAGGUCCAUCUGGAGGUUCAUGUUUGGGGUUCCAUUUGAGUUGGCUUGAAUCCAUCUCCACAGGCCGCUCAUUAGUGGCAAGAUGGAGUUUCAUUUGAGAUGAGGUUGAUUCUGUUUCGAGUUUUGGGUGAGGUUCGAUUUGAGAUCGUUGUUCUUUGUUUCCGGUUUAAUGUUCGAGUUUCAAUUCUUUCAUAGACAUGUGUUUGAGUCAAUUCAGUAUUUGAUUGCAUUUGGAUUUUGCAUCCAGUGUGUAGAUGUUGAGCAUGAGCAUUUCAGUUGACAAAAUCAUGUAUUCCGUACAUGAAUCGGAUGUGGGUUUUAGAUAUUAGAGGUUGUUGUUAUUCAAGUCACAGUAGAAUGUUUGAAAUAUUUGCUUCCAUUUUUUCAUGUCAUUUGUUAAGUGUUUGAAAUAUUCUUCUUUAUUUUUG